rnacentral:hammerhead_ribozyme from 17 species
CAAGCGUAAGGGGUUGCUGCCAUCCCCACUGAUGAGUCUUGGAAGCGACUCCGAGACGAAACGUUAA